UACCAGCACCCCGAGUUGUCGGGACGAUUAUUGGGCCUAAAGCAUCCGUAGCCUGUUCUGCAAGUCCUCCGUUAAAUCCACCCGCUUAACGGAUGGGCUGCGGGGGAUACCGCAGAGCUAGGAGGCGGGAGAGGCAAACGGUACUCAGUGGGUAGGGGUAAAAUCCAUUGAUCUACUGAAGACCACCAGUGGCGAAGGCGGUUUGCCAGAACGCGCUCGACGGUGAGGGAUGAAAGCUGGGGGAGCAAACCGG
rnacentral:rRNA from 1 species